AGGUAGAAUUUCUUCUAGAAUGUUACCAUAUUGUCUUUGUCUAUUUGCCUUUUCAUUGUUUUCUGUGGGCUUUAUUUGCUCUGCUUCUUAGCUAGCUUUUUCCUCAUUGCAUUUCAUAUAACUAAAAAGAAAUUGUCUCUCACAAGGCAGAAAAGUUGGAGAAGGUGAACAGGUGUCAGUUUCUUCCCCUCUUAUGAUCACCUACUAGUCAACAGAUGUCACCAAAGACAGCCUCAGAUGAAACAUUGCC
rnacentral:lncRNA from 1 species